rnacentral:misc_RNA from 1 species
UUCUCUCCUUUGAAUAAAGCGAAAGUAGAACAGAAGCAGCAGGCUAUCGUUCCGUGUGUUUCGCCGGUAUUUUUAUGAACCGCUGUUCAUGCGCGGCCGCUAGGCCAGGGUAUGUACGAUGACGGGUCCGGCGCCGGCGGUGGCCGGUCCAGUGAGCAACGGCGCAAGACUCUGCUCGAUCCAUGCAAGUCCGCGCCUGUUCGACUCCUCCGCGCCCGCGAAAUUGUUGAAGAUGCUGAUCGCCGUCACCG